GCUCUCAUUAACAGCGGGCCUCCGACAGCGGAACCAUGUCCCGGUCCAAACAGCGGAUCCGGUCCAUUCACCGGGACGCUGCGUAAGGACAGCCGGAAUGAAGGGCCAAGGGGCCGUGCAGGUUAUGAGACAUGGUCCGCUGCCGGGAAAUCUGGACCUCAGGCCGGCUGGCCAGGUCAGAGCGGUACCGUCCGGGUGGUGCUGCAGAAAUCCGUUUAUCGACAAUUUGUCAGGUUAUUGAUCACAGGGUUUAUCUGGAUUAGAGUCAUCAGCAAACCUCCGGACCUGAAGGACAAUUCACCCGCUCUCCUGCACCAUUUCUGCCUACAGUGCCGUGACCGUGGAUGAGCCUCACCUCCCCGCAGACAGCCUAGCAGUGACCGACCGGAGCUGCAGCCUCAGUCCGCCUCUGACGAUCACAGCUCGUUCACACGGACGCUAGCUGGCCUGGCUAAACGUUAGCUUAGCACCGUUAGCUUAGCUCCGAGAAGGAAAAUCUCAAACCGCAACCACAUCCCCGGCAUUUCAGGGGACGAAGCGCAGUGUGAACGAUUCCGGACCGGCUCACAACAAACAGCCGAAGUGUCCGCCUCCGGUUCGGCUGCUCUCUGUCUUCAUUUCCACACUCAGAGCGCGACACCAGGGAUUAUCAAUAACAGACGCCAGGAUUCUGUCGGGUGGCAAUGGUCAGACACUGAUGGAGACCAAACAAACGAUAAAGAGAAACUCCAAGGUCAUGUGAAGAUGCAGCUGUUGGAAUCCUUUGUCUUGCACAUUUCUUGUUUUGUAUAUGAUGUAACCAAGAUUGAUAAGCUUUGACUAUUUGAAAACCUGAGCUGAAGAAGAGAGGGUCAGUACUUCAUUUCAUGUCCAAUAUCACACUGGGCAUGGUAUGCAGUUUUGACCCAUAUUAAUCUGUAAACUGUGUGAAAAUGGCUAAUUAAAUUUAUUAAUCGCC